AGGGAGUGGCAGGGUGGCCGGCCGGGUGCUGCAGGGGACGGCCACUGCUCCGGACAUCAUGGCAUAUGGAUAACCUGGAGUCCGAAGUGGCACUUAAUAUUCUCAACGCUGUGCUGACUAAUAAAGAAGAGGCACAGUGGGCAAGACAGAGGGACUGGGAAGGCAGACAGAAGAGGAGGAUGGACUGGGACGACCAGUACUAUGGGUCUGGCUGCGGCAUCCUACCCACCCCCCAGAUGCCCCCACGCUAACUGCCCCGGCGCGACCCUAACAUUGGCCCUGCACACUCCUGGGGUGUGGUGGGGGCUUUGUACCAGGGCGGCCGGGGCGGGGGCAGGGUGGAGCAACAGGGCCGGGGUACAAGAUGAAGAAAACGUUGCCGGCUAAGAAGAAAAUAGGAGCUAAGGAGGUUUAGACAAGUGGUGGUGGUGGUGGUGGUGGUGCUGGUGGUGGUGUGAAACCGAGGAUAAGACUGUAUCAUCAGUCUGAUGAUAUUUGGAAUAUCAAUUAUUUAACUUUGCAACACCUGAGGACAAGACAGGAGCCAGGCAGGAGGGUCAUAGGAUGCCAGUUGGAUGUGGUGAAGGAUGUUUUUUGUCUGGGAAGGAUAAUGAGGAAGUGAAAUUGAGUUGCUGAUCUGUAGAUAAAAUGAUAAAAGAUGAAUAAGUGAAAUAAAAAAAAAAAUGUGGUGUUUUGGAAUAUAUAGAACAGUGGGGCUUAGUGUGUGUGUAUGUGUGUGUGUGCUGGGGGAUGUAUCUUUGUUAAUUAGAAAGAAUAUAAGAGAUGAAUAUAAUGGUGGGAAUAUAAGAGAUGAAUAUAAUGGUGGGAUGUAUAGCAAUUUUUUUUAGUUCAGAAGAAAUAAGUUUGGUUUGAGUUUAUAUAUGAAUGGGAAAAAAAGCUAAAAGAGAGAGAGAGAGAUUUAUAAUGAACUGGAAUGUAAAGCAGUACAAAACUGUAAAAGAAAGGGAUUGAUGUUUAGUUUAGAUUAAUUUGUGUAAAGUAGAGUAAAAAAAAAUAAUGUGUUUUGAGUUGAUGUAUCAGUGUAACCUAGAAAAUGGAGGAGAAAUUAUUGUUUCUUUAAAUUUUAUGUCAUUGUAAACUAGAAAAUAUAAAUAGUUUUUUUUCAUUUUAUAGAUCAUUAUAAAAUUGAAAAAUAAUAUAGCA